GACUUUGUGGUGUAGUUGUCAGCACGAUCGGCCCGUAUGCGAGAGGUCCGUGGUUCGAGUCCCGGCGAGGGCA
rnacentral:tRNA from 1 species